rnacentral:lncRNA from 1 species
GCGCGAUCGGCCGGGCUGUAACCGUCGUCUGUCCGGGAGCGGCUGGAGCGGCAGCGGCGGCCGGGCACGGCGCGAGGUGACGCCACAGGGCAGCGGCGGCAGCGGAGGCAGCGGCGGCAGCAGGAGACGCAGCGGCGGCCGCAGCAGCAGCAGCAAGACGGACUCGUGGAGACGCGCCGCCGCCGCCGCCGCCGGGCCGGGCCGGGUGUCGCGCGCCGAGGCUGGGGGGGAGUCGUCGCCGCCGCCGCCACCGCUACCGCCGCCGCCGCCGCCGCCGAGGUGACUGAGGAGAGAGGCGCCUCCUCGCUCCCGCCACCGCCGGACUUCAAUGCCCAGUCCCCAGCUCGCCAGCGUUUUUCGUUGGAAUAUACGUUGCACAUUUAUGGCGAUUCUGAGUGUGAGGGCAGACUUCUGCCAGGCUCAGCACAGCAUUUUCGCUGACAAGUGAGCUUGGAGGUUCUAUGUGCCAUAAUUAACAUUGCCUUGAAGACUCCUGGACACCGAGACUGGCCUCAGAAAUAGUUGGCUUUUUUUUUUUUUAAUUGCAAGCAUAUUUCUUUUAAUGACUCCAGUAAAAUUAAGCAUCAAGUAAACAAGUGGAAAGUGACCUACACUUUUAACUUGUCUCACUAGUGCCUAAAUGUAGUAAAGGCUGCUUAAGUUUUGUAUGUAGUUGGAUUUUUUGGAGUCCGAAGGUAUCCAUCUGCAGAAAUUGAGGCCCAAAUUGAAUUUGGAUUCAAGUGGAUUCUAAAUACUUUGCUUAUCUUGAAGAGAGAAGCUUCAUAAGGAAUAAACAAGUUGAAUAGAGAAAACACUGAUUGAUAAUAGGCAUUUUAGUGGUCUUUUUAAUGUUUUCUGCUGUGAAACAUUUCAAGAUUUAUUGAUUUUUUUUUUUCACUUUCCCCAUCACACUCACACGCACGCUCACACUUUUUAUUUGCCAUAAUGAACCGUCCAGCCCCUGUGGAGAUCUCCUAUGAGAACAUGCGUUUUCUGAUAACUCACAACCCUACCAAUGCUACUCUCAACAAGUUCACAGAGGAACUUAAGAAGUAUGGAGUGACGACUUUGGUUCGAGUUUGUGAUGCUACAUAUGAUAAAGCUCCAGUUGAAAAAGAAGGAAUCCACGUUCUAGGCACCUGUGCUGGUUGCACUUGCUUUGAUUGAAUGUGGAAUGAAGUACGAAGAUGCAGUUCAGUUUAUAAGACAAAAAAGAAGGGGAGCGUUCAAUUCCAAACAGCUGCUUUAUUUGGAGAAAUACCGACCUAAGAUGCGAUUACGCUUCAGAGAUACCAAUGGGCAUUGCUGUGUUCAGUAGAAGGAAAUGUAAACGAAGGCUGACUUGAUUGUGCCAUUUAGAGGGAACUCUUGGUACCUGGAAAUGUGAAUCUGGAAUAUUACCUGUGUCAUCAAAGUAGUGAUGGAUUCAGUACUCCUCAACCACUCUCCUAAUGAUUGGAACAAAAGCAAACAAAAAAGAAAUCUCUCUAU